UACUAACAACGAUUAGUUAUUAAACAUCCCUAAGGCCUGGGGUUCCUGGCGGGAGGUUACCUCCCCUCACUCUUCCUGUAGACAGACGUCCCUUCAUUUCAGCCUACCAACCACGGAAUGUGGCUACCAUUAAAUUUCCAGUUUGCAAAUGAAGUAAACUUGAGUCAAAGAGCUUGAAGACUUGCUACACGGUCAGGAUUUGAACCCACAACUGUGGCUCUAGCGCGCAGGUUCCAAACUACUUUCCUGUGCCUAACUCCCUGUGAUGGGGCGGGUCCAACCUCGCUCACCCCUUCCAGCCCUUCCUAGACCCAGUGGAGGCAACCGGCACCCACGGCGUCCUUAUUGGUUUUUCUCGGAGAAAAGAUCUCUCAGUCCCUCCUCCCAGUACCCUGGCUGAGUGUGUCCAGCUGCUGUGGUCACCCAAGGUUAAUGAUUGCUGGACUCGGCGGUGAGCCAGGUCCCAGCAUAUUGCAGACCCCAGCGGGGGCCUCUGCCCUAGGGAACAUCCGAGCUGCUUUGCCCGUUGAACCUGCCCGGAGUCACACGUGUGCUUCCACCUGGGCCCCAGGCUUGCACCGAAGUGCGCAGGAGGGGUCUGCAGCUGGGCUCUUCUUUCUGCCUUGUCUCCUGGCUAACCCCCUUCCCCUCCCGACGACGCUGGAGCUGGGAUGAGGGGGAGGCCUUCUUGGCGGGAAUCUUGGGAAGGAGGAGGGAAAAGAAUGGCCAGAGGAAAUUGCAGGCAUAGCUGUAGGCGCUGCCUGAAGCCUGAAGACUGUUAACCCCUUCCCUGUUGAAGCUGCAGACCCCGACUCCCCCAAGCCAGCCUGGGUUCAAGGAGGGGUCAAGAGGAGCUGGAGAAAGGACCAGGCUGGCUCAGACCUGGGUAUAUUUGUGACUGUUUAGUCUGCUUUGCCAGCAUGUGUUGGCCCAUGUGUCCUUACCUAUUUGCAUAUAACUAUAACGAUUUCUCAGCGUUUAGUGUGUGACGAGUACAGUCAGUAGUAGAUGCCUGGCCUCUCCUAAAAAUGGAAGGUUAGAAGCCCUCAGGAGGCAGGCAUCUUCAAGGGCCUCAUGAGGUGCUGUGAAGGUGGUGGAAUGCAUUAAUGUGACAGGGGACAUCUUGGGCAGCUCUCACAAGGACAGCCCAGUCUAGAUUAGAUGUGACUCAUCCUUGGGGAAACAGAGACGGAAACAAAGGGAGUAUUGAGAUGUCUGAGAUGUCGCUGGACUCUGCGGACUGAUGCACACUAAUGGAGUGCUAUCUCCUUCAGCCGGCUACUGGUGGUUAAGCACAUGAAGUGACUCUGUGACCCUGAUGACUCAGAAGCAGAGAGCUACUCAGAGUUCCGGAGAAGGCUGGAGAGGUGGCUCAGCGGCUAAGAGCACUGACUGCUCUCCCACAGGUCCUGAGUUCAAUCCCCAGCAUCUACAUGGUGGCUCACAACCAUCUGUAGUGGGAUCUGAUGCCCUCUUCUGGUGUGUGUCUGAAGACAGCGACAGUGUACUCACAUACAUAAAACAAAUAAAUAAAUAUUUAAAAAAGAAGAAGUCAAAGUUCUGGAGAAGGUACCUAAAGCCUUCAGCUGAGAUGGCUGUCCCCAGUGGCUGCCCCUGCCAGCCAUAGUUUUGUGCAGCCUCUCAUUUCUCGCUGGUGGCUGGAAUCAUCCAUUUAAUCUGCCCGUUUUGUCUGCAUCCUGCAACCUGCAGAUCUCUGCUUGUUUGACCAGAGCUCCUCUGCUUGCCUGAUCACUUGUCCUUUGGCUGGCCCAUCUCUGCCCUCCUAACUGUGAUAUCUGUGAGAUCAGGGAUUGGUCAUCUUGGAAAGGCCCAGAGAGGAAACAGGAAAGUCCUAGCUGCCUGGAUGAAGAUACAGAACUCUCAGCGUGCCUUCUUCCUUGUUCUCACCAUGAUGAUGACGGACUGAACCUCUGGACCUGAGUCCAAACUGGUUUCCUGUCAGCUGGAGCCGGAGAGUCAGCCAUGGUUAGCAAGAGACCAGAACCACUGAAGUGAAACCUUCAUUUUACUGAGGUAGUGAUGCUGGUCAGUCAGAGCCGGGGAAACAGCUGUACUUCACGAUGGCUGGACUUGGUAACGUGUAAGAGUCUCUCAGGUUGGUUUUGAAGGCACGAAGAGGUUGUGGAGGAUAGCUGAGUCUCCACCUGGGAGAGGCCAGGAAAGGCCAUUGGUCAACAAACAAACAUUCAGCCUCAGUUACAGUGAAAACCCCAGAAUUGAAGGGGUCAUGGAGAGAGGCUGAGGCUUGGCACCGUGUCCCUGAUAUCAAAGUCCCUGAAUAGAAUCCAGGAGGGGGUGAAGGUGCAGCCCGAGGAGACCCCCAGCAUAUUGGAGAUGUCAGGAUCGUGGGGCAUUUGCCAGAGCAGAGAGCAGAUCAAGACAAGCAGAGUGAGGAGCUGGGGAAUGGAGCUGCCAGGGCCCUUUCGAAGCCCAGAGGAUCGGGAGUGGAUCUCAGGAGCCCACAGUUCACAGAGACUUGGGAUGUUUAAAAAAAAGAAAUGGAUAUGUUACAGAGACGAAGCUUUAAAAAUCUUGAAAAUUGCAAAGACUGUGGGACUUAACAAAAAAAACCAAAAAACAAAAAACAUAAAACAAAAAACACUGUACAGUUGGGUUAGGUGCGGUGGCUCGCGUCUUUAGACCCAGAGUGCAGGAGGCAGAAUAGAUGAGUCUCUUUGUGUUCUGGGCCAGCUAGGGCUCCAUAGUGAGACCAUCUCAAAAAUAACAGCCAGCCAUGGGUAUACCCGCCUUUCAUCCCUGCACUUGAAAAGCAGAGGCAGGCAGACCUCUAUGGGUUUAAGAUGGCUGGAUUAGCCUACAUAGUGAGUUGUGGGAGAGCAGAGCUUCAUACAUGGAUGGACCCUUUUGAAAUAAUAAAACAAACAAACAAACAAAAAACAACAAUGAA